AUUUCUGAAUGGGGGAACCCCAUCGAGCAACACUCGAUGACCUUGUACUUGAUGCAAGGAGCACACCCGGGGAAUUGAAACAUCUUAGUACCCGGAGGAAUAGAAACCAAUAGGUAUUUCCUGAGUAGCGGCGAGCGAAACGGAAGAAGCCCAAACCUUACUGCUUGCAGUAGGGGGUUGUAAGGCGUUAGUGCUGCAUUUAUGUAGGAAGAGUUACAAAAUAUGUUGUUAAAAGAACAACCUGGGAAGGUUGACCCUAG
rnacentral:rRNA from 1 species